rnacentral:rRNA from 1 species
CAGUCGCCGCGGGAAUACGGAGGGUGCAAGCGUUAAUCGGAAUUACUGGGCGUAAAGCGCACGCAGGCGGUCUGUCAAGUCAGAUGUGAAAUCCCCGGGCUUAACCUGGGAACUGCAUUUGAAACUGGCAGGCUAGAGUCUUGUAGAGGGGGGUAGAAUUCCAGGUGUAGCGGUGAAAUGCGUAGAGAUCUGGAGGAAUACCGAUGGCGAAGGCAGCCAUCUGGCCUAAUACUGACGCUGAGGUACGAAAGCAUGGGGAGCAAACAGGAUUAGAUACCCCGGUAGUCCCUGUCUCUUAUAC